CCUACGGGAGGCAGCAGUGGGGAAUAUUGCACAAUGGGGGAAACCCUGAUGCAGCGACGCCGCGUGAGUGAAGAAGUAUCUCGGUAUGUUAAGCCCCAUCAGUAGGGAAGAAAAUGACGGUACCUGUCUAAGAAGCCCCGGCUAACUACGUGCCAGCAGCCGCGGUAAUACGGAGGGGGCAAGCGUUAUCCGGAUUUACUGGGUGUAAAGGGAGCGUAGACGGCAGCGCAAGUCUGGAGGGAAAUCCCAGGGCUUAACCAUGGAACUGCUUUGGAAACUGUGCAGCUGGAGUGCAGGAGAGGUAAGCGGAAUUCCUGGUGUAGCGGUGAAAUGCGUAGAUAUUAGGAGGAACACCAGUGGCGAAGGCGGCUUACUGGACUGUAACUGACGUUGAGGCACGAAAGCGUGGGGAGCGAACAGGAUUAAAUACCCCAGUAGUC
rnacentral:rRNA from 1 species